rnacentral:rRNA from 1 species
ACAAUAGACUACCCGGGUAGUCCUGGCCGUAAACGAUGGAUACUAGGUGUGGGAGGUUCGACCCCUUCCGUGCCGCAGCUAACGCAUUAAGUAUCCCGCCUGGGGAGUACGGCCGCAAGGUUGAAACUCAAAGGAAUUGACGGGGGCCCGCACAAGCGGUGGAGCAUGUGGUUUAAUUCGAUGCAACGCGAAGAACCUUACCAGGGUUUGACAUGCUGGUGGUAGAAGCCCGAAAGGGUGACGACUUUCGGUUUUCCGAGGGAGCCAGCACAGGUGCUGCAUGGUUGUCGUCAGCUCGUGUCGUGAGAUGUUGGGUUAAGUCCCGCAACGAGCGCAACCCUUACUCUUAGUUGCUACCAGGUCAAGCUGGGCACUCUAAGGGGACUGCCGGUGACAAACCGGAGGAAGGUGGGGAUGACGUCAAAUCCGCAUGGCCCUUAUGUCCUGGGCGACACACGUGCUACAAUGGCCAGUACAGAUGGUUGCGAACCCGCGAGGGGGAGCCAAUCCCAAAAAGCUGGCCCCAGUUGGGAUUGCAGGCUGCAACUCG